GGAUGUGAGGGUGAUCGGGCUGCGACAUCUGUCACCCCAUUGAUCGCCGGGGUUGAUUCAGCUGAUCUGGCUGGCUAGGCAAGUGUCCCCUUCCUCACUCACCACUCCCUGUGUGUCCUUCCUGAAGCUGCACGCUCUGUUGAAGAGGAUGACCUUCCUGGCUAGAGGGGGACUGUUCUUCUGUCAAGGGUAUACCAGUAGCUGAGUUCCCCUGCUAGAACCUCCAAACAAGCUCUCAAAAGUUGUCAUUUCACACUCACUAGAAUGGCUACUAUUAAAAAAAUUGAAAACUACAAGAGUU
rnacentral:snRNA from 1 species